UACGUAGGGGGCAAGCGUUGUCCGGAAUCAUUGGGCGUAAAGAGCGUGUAGGCGGUCCGGUAAGUCGGCUGUGAAAGUCCAGGGCUCAACCCUGGGAUGCCGGUGGAUACUGCUGGACUAGAGUGCGGAAGAGGCGAGUGGAAUUCCCGGUGUAGCGGUGAAAUGCGCAGAUAUCAGGAGGAACACCGGUGGCGAAGGCGGAUCUCUGGGCCUUAACCUGACGCUGGAGGCGCGAAAGCUAGGGGAGCGAACAGG
rnacentral:rRNA from 1 species